GGACGAGAGGGUGAAGAUCAGAGGAGGAGGAGGUGCCCAUCAGGAGACGAGGACGAGGGGGUGAAGAUCAGAGGAGGAGGAGGUGCCCAUCAGGAGACGAGGACGAGGGGGUGAAGAUCAGAGGAGGAGGAGGUGCCCAUCAGGAGACGAGGACGAGGGGGUGAAGAUCAGAGGAGGAGGAGGUGCCCAUCAGGAGACCAGGACGAGGGGGCUGAAGAUCAGAGGAGGAGGAGGUGCCCAUCAGGAGAGGACGACAAGGAGGACAUGGAGAUUAGAGGAGGAGGAGGAGAGCAGGUCAGGUGCAGGGAUUCAAAGCUCACAGCGCAAGCUGCUAAUUGUGUGACUUCACUUCCACACCACCUCCCCCCGACCUCCCCCCAGCCUCCCCCCAUAAGCCAAUGGGCCCUUUACAUUACAGCAUCAUCCAACAAGUUAAAGACACGUUCAGGGAAGAGACAAUCAGAUAUGAAAGACGGUUGAUUUCAGAUCCAAAAGACAAAACAAAACUGUGCAGACGAGAACAUUUAAAAACAGUAAAAGUAACAAACACAAACUGAUAUAAAGUCCACUUUGACUUCUUCCUCUGGUGAGGGACCUCGUGUCCACUAAUGGAUCAACAACCAUCUACAGCCGUGCUCACAAAUACCUACAAUAAAAGCUAAAUGAACUCAAGUGUUAUUACCCCCCCCAGCACCCCCCCUUUAUCAUUCUGGUGACGCCGGAGGGCAAUUAAAGCCCCCCCGUCCCCUCCGUGACAGCGGGACAAAUGGAUUUCAGCGCAGUUCAUGAAUUCAAAGAUGAUGAAAUUGCCAAUAAUUGCUUGUGCGUGAGUCAAUGCAGAAAUAUUCUUCUUCAUCAGCGGCUCCGACACGAUGCUCCUCUCCCUCCCUCCCUCCCUUCCUCCUUCCUUACUUCCUCCCUCCCUUCCUCCCUUCCUCCCUACCUCCCUUCCUUCCUUCGCCCUCUCGCAUGGAAACCGCUGCAGAUUGUUUCCUAACGAGCUGCACGCGGAGUGAGACAAGACAUCUGCGUCCGUCUGCGUCCGUCUGACCCUACAACCGGUUACCGCGGCAACCGCGAUAAGCCCCGCUUCCUCCUGACCACCGAGCCACUUACGGACACCUCCAUCAUUAUCCCAAGGUGCUUUUCAAUGAGGAGGGUGUCUGUCUGUCUCCCCUUCUUCUUUAGCACUUUGGAGAGUGUGUGUGUGUGUGUGUGUGUGUGUGUGUGUGUGUGUGUGUGUGUGUGUGUGUGUGUGUGCGCCCAUACAAGUCAAUGAGGUCGUCACUAAAGCUCUGAAUAUCAAAUAGUGCUACAAACGCUCAUCCGGAUGAUGUCACGGGUUUCUAAAGCCACAAUGUGGCUUCUUUCUUAUUUGCAGUCAUCCGAUGGUGCGAACGUGUCGUGUGACCUCGUCUGAUUAAAGCCACCGUCUCUUUGGUUCAGGUGCUUUGAAUGCAGCUUUUGUGGUGAAAUAAAUGUGUUUUUGUGCAUGAUUUGUGAACAUAGAAUCAACCAGAAGCAUCUUCCGUAGAAACAAUAUGUGUUUCACUCAUUCAUUCCCUAAAACAUUACUACGUCUUCUCGGUUGUAAUGUCAAUGUUCAUAAAGCAAAGUCAGCAGUGAUUUUAUUGUGACAUCAUUUUAAUUAUUACAUUACAUUAUUUAACUGACGCUUUUAUCCAAAGCGACUUGCGUUACACUUUAAACUCACGGCUCUUACAUUUUGCCCGGGGAGCAGUUAUGGGUUUGGUGUCUUGCUCAGGGACAUCUGUCUUCAACAUGGGACAUGGAGCAGCCAGGACUCGAACUACCAACCUUGCGGUCCCCGCACACCCUCUCUGCACCUGCGCCACGACGGUUCUUUUGAUAUUUGACAUUUUGACAUUUAAGAUAUACAAAGUGCAGAUUUGCUUUAUAAAAUCAAACGCAAAAGACAGUUUGUUGUCUUUGCAUGAACAGAUGUUCAGAUCAUGAAGCCAGCAGAGUGUUUAUGUAAUAUUUCAAAUGUUAAAACAAUAAAUCGACCCUUAAAUCUUGACAUGAAUUUCUUCUGCGUUGAUUCGGAUCAUCAGACUUCAACUCGAGUCAAUCAUUCAUCGUUUUUUUUUUACCGAUUUAAAGUGUUUCAUUAAUAUUUUAUUGCCAUCAUAAAGAGGCCCACUUUAAUCUGAUUUUAUUUGUAUUCAUAACCUUCAUUACCGUGUUUUUCCUCCCCUGUUUGCUCUGUAAUCUGUGCUCCUCCUCACUGCCGCUGUUAACAAACUAAUUCUCCUUCUGGGCUCAAUAAAAAACUGGAAAGAAAAACCGAUUCAGAUUCCAGAGGCGUCUGAGAGUAGAAAACAACAAAGGAUUAACAUGGCAAACUUCUUCAAAUAUGCUUUGUCCGAUCAGGAAACAGAUCAUGUCCCAGAGUCAGAGGAGAAGCAGAAACAUCUAAAUGUCAUUUGUUUUAUUUGUGAUUCACUGUUUCCCUCUUGAUUCGUUAAUCGACAUCUGACGUGUGAAUGAGCUUCGGUAGAAGCAGCUUCUGAGCCUGAGAGCACCAUCACUCGCCUUCUACGUCACUCAUCUUCAGACGGCCGGGGGGGGGCGGCUCCAUUGGACUGGUCACAUGGAGACACACAAUCACACACCUUUAACCUUUAACCUUUAACCCUCCACCCCAAGAACUAGAGACUAUUUCCCACAGCGCCGAUGCAGCGUGGAGAGAUCUGUCAGCGCGACCCCACGUGAUACGGGACGCACUGCUCAUAUAAGAAUGAUGUAGCUUUACAGCUACGGGGGAACAAAGGGAUGAACCGGUCCUGAAGGGGGGGGGGUCCAUCAGACAAAAUGUCUGUCGCUGUGGAACUGUAAUUGGCCCUCGCAGCAGAGAGCGCGUCCUGCCUGACCCCCAGCGCGCUCUGCUUUCCUGUUUCUUUUAAUGGAGUCUGUCUCCCUUCAUGUGCCCCCCCCCCCUCCUCCUCCCUGACAGCGGCCUGUCUGCGGAUCGCUGGCAGGAAGUGGUGUCAGGAAGCGGUUAGUUUAGCGAGGUGGAGGGAAGGUAGCUGGUGGCGUCCAGGCGGCUGUCAUGAGGCCGAACCCCCCCCCUUCCCCCCACCCGCCCCGGACCCCCUCCUCAGCUCUGGACAUGACAGGGAGGCCGGCGGAGUGUCAGCGGGACGCCCCCCCCCUGUCAUGUCUGUCACGCCCGGCGGUACAGGAAGUCAUGUUACGGAACAGUCGGCCUUUCUAAAAAAGUUUCUUUCACAACCUGCAAGUGAAGGACGUCCCCUCGAUGUCCUCAGACCAGCCCCCCGGCCCCCCGGCCCCCGCAGGCC
ensembl:lncRNA